GCUUCCAUAGCUCAGCGGUAGAGCACUUCCAUGGUAAGGAAGAGGUCGCCGGUUCAAGUCCGGCUGGAAGCU
rnacentral:tRNA from 2 species